rnacentral:rRNA from 1 species
AGUACGUGAAACUGCUUAGAGGUUAAGCCCGAUGAACUUGAAUAUCCAUUAUGGAAAAUUCAUCAUUAAUAUUAUAAUAUUUAUCAUAUUAUAAAAAUAGUGUGCAAUUUUUCCAUAUAAGGACAUUGUAAUCUGUUAAUGUAUUAAAUAUUUAUUAAAAGAUCUUAUACUUAAGUUUAUUUGAAUUUGUUAACUUUGGUUUUCAAACAUAAAAUAAAUGUAUUUGAUUUAAUAAAUCAUUGACAGAUUUCAUUAUAUAUAGUGCUUAAAUUUUUUUUUAAAAAAUUUUACAAUAACAUUAUAAUUCUAUUUAUUGUGUUUAUUGUAUGCGCUUAUAUGAUUAACAAUGCAAUAGAUUCAAGAUACCUUCGGGACCCGUCUUGAAACACGGACCAAGGAGUCUAACAUAUGUGCAAGUCAUUGGGUAUUUUUAAUAAAACCCAAUGGCAUAAUUAACUUAACUGUUAUAUGGGAUUAGUUUAAAUUUUAUUAUGAAAUAUAAAUUCAAUCCCGGGGCGUUCUAUACAGUUAUGUAUAAUGGUAUUUAUAUUAUUUAUGCCUCUAACU